rnacentral:rRNA from 1 species
CUACGGGACGCUGCAGUGAGGAAUAUUGCACAAUGGGGGGAACCCUGAUGCAGCAACGCCGCGUGGAGGGUGACGCAUCUCGGUGUGUAAACUCCUUUUAUAUGUCAAGAAAAUGACGGUAGCAUAUGAAUAAGCACCGGCUAACUCCGUGCCAGCAGCCGCGGUAAUACGGAGGGUGCAAGCGUUACUCGGAAUCACUGGGCGUAAAGGACGCGUAGGCGGGUUGGAAAGUCAGGUGUGAAAUCCUACAGCUUAACUGUAGAACUGCACCUGAAACUUCUAAUCUAGAGUAUGGGAGGGGGAGAUGGAAUUAGUGGUGUAGGGGUAAAAUCCGUAGAUAUCACUAGGAAUACCUAAAGCGAAGGCGAUCUCCUGGAACAUUACUGACGCUAAGGCGUGAAAGCGUGGGGAGCAAACAGGAUUAGAUACCCGGGUAGUC